UGCCAGACUCCUACGGGAGGCAGCAGUGGGGAAUAUUGCACAAUGGGGGAACCCUGAUGCAGCGACGCCGCGUGAGUGAAGAAGUAUUUCGGUAUGUAAAGCUCUAUCAGCAGGGAAGAAAAUGACGGUACCUGACUAAGAAGCCCCGGCUAACUACGUGCCAGCAGCCGCGGUAAUACGUAGGGGGCAAGCGUUAUCCGGAUUUACUGGGUGUAAAGGGAGCGUAGACGGCAGAGCAAGUCUGAAGUGAAAGCCCGCGGCCCAACUGCGGGACUGCUUUGGAAACUGCCCGGCUAGAGUGCUGGAGAGGUAAGCGGAAUUCCUAGUGUAGCGGUGAAAUGCGUAGAUAUUAGGAGGAACACCAGUGGCGAAGGCGACUUUCUGGACUGUACCUGACGCUGAGGCGCGAAAGCGUGGGUAGCGAACGGGAUUAGAUACCCUGGUACA
rnacentral:rRNA from 1 species